rnacentral:rRNA from 1 species
AAAGAAAGAGGGAGGCAUGCCUAACACAUGCAAGUCGAACGAGACCUUCGGGUCUAGUGGCGCACGGGUGCGUAACGCGUGGGAACCUGCCUUUAGGUUCGGAAUAACUCAGAGAAAUUUGAGCUAAUACCGGAUGAUGUCUUCGGACCAAAGAUUUAUCGCCUUUAGAUGGGCCCGCGUUGGAUUAGCUAGUUGGUGGGGUAAAGGCCUACCAAGGCGACGAUCCAUAGCUGGUCUGAGAGGAUGAUCAGCCACACUGGGACUGAGACACGGCCCAGACUCCUACGGGAGGCAGCAGUGGGGAAUAUUGGACAAUGGGCGAAAGCCUGAUCCAGCAAUGCCGCGUGAGUGAUGAAGGCCUUAGGGUUGUAAAGCUCUUUUACCCGAGAUGAUAAUGACAGUAUCGGGAGAAUAAGCUCCGGCUAACUCCGUG